rnacentral:rRNA from 1 species
CCUACGGGUGGCAGCAGUGAGGAAUAUUGGUCAAUGGGCGGAAGCCUGAACCAGCCAAGUAGCGUGCAGGAUGACGGCCCUACGGGUUGUAAACUGCUUUUAUACGGGAGUAACGCCCCUUACGUGUGGGGCUUUGCAUGUACCGCAUGAAUAAGGACCGGCUAAUUCCGUGCCAGCAGCCGCGGUAAUACGGAAGGUCCGGGCGUUAUCCGGAUUUAUUGGGUUUAAAGGGUGCGUAGGCGGGGUGUCAAGCGUGCUGGUAAAUGUCCGGGCUCAACCCGCGCCUUGCAGGGAGAACUGGCGUGCUUGAGUCCGCGGAAAGCAUGCGGAAUUCGUCGUGUAGCGGUGAAAUGCUUAGAUAUGACGAAGAACCCCGAUUGCGAAGGCAGCUUGCUGCAGCGGAACUGACGCUGAUGCUCGAAAGCGCGGGUAUCGAACAGGAUUAGAUACCCCUGUAGUC